GAUGAACGCUGGCGGCGUGCCUAACACAUGCAAGUCGAACGGAGUUUAUAUUAUGAAGUUUUCGGAUGGAAUGAUAUAAACUUAGUGGCGGACGGGUGAGUAACGCGUGGGUAACCUGCCUCAUACAGGGGGAUAACAGUUGGAAACGACUGCUAACACCGCAUAAGCAUACAGUAUCGCAUGAUACAGCGUGAAAAUAUUUAUAGGUAUGAGAUGGGCCCGCGUCUGAUUAGCUAGUUGGUGAGGUAAAGGCUCACCAAGGCGACGAUCAGUAGCCGGCUUGAGAGAGUGACCGGCCACAUUGGGACUGAGACACGGCCCAAACUCCUACGGGAGGCAGCAGUGGGGAAUAUUGCACAAUGGGCGAAAGCCUGAUGCAGCGACGCCGCGUGAGGGAUGACGGCCUCGGUUGGUAACGUACUUCUAGCAGGAGAAGACGAAAGUAGACGGUAACCGUGCAGAAGAAGACACCGGACGUACUACGUAGCCACG
rnacentral:rRNA from 1 species